UAAGCGUUCGCUUGCACACAC
ensembl:piRNA 21ur-3441 ncRNA